UAGCUAUGUGUGGACGGGAUAAGUGCUGAAAGCAUCUAAGCAUGAAGCCCCCCUCAAGAUGAGAUUUCCCAACUUCGGUUAUAAGAUCCCUCAAAGAUGAUGAGGUUAAUAGGUUCGAGGUGGAAGCAUGGUGACAUGUGGAGCUGACGAAUACUAAUCGAUUGAAGACUUAAUCAA
rnacentral:rRNA from 1 species